CAAUAAACCACAACUAAUUAAUUUCUUGUCAUUCCUACGUGUGUCAAUGUGUAUGUGUGAAAGUGUCUUCUUCUCUAUUCCUCCCUCUCCUUCUGCACGUAAAUUUCAUUUUCUGACUGUGGGCAGAAAAUGAAUCAAUCUCCCACUGUGAUCAGCAUGUAUGGCUUUGCCAAUUUGCUUCCUAAUUGUAAUGUCGUUUCCAAAUCUCUCUGUGAGUGCAAUUAGUUCCAUUUCAACCAAUG
rnacentral:misc_RNA from 1 species